NNNNNNGAGGGCAAUAUUGCUGCGACAUCUGUCACCCAUUGAUUGCCCAGGGUUGAUUCGGCUGAUCUGGGUGUCUGUCCCCUUCCUUCCUCACCGUUCCAUGUGCAUCCCUUCCGAAGCUGCACGCUGGGUCAAAGGACGGCCUUCCCCGAAUAGAGAUGGACUGGUCUUCUGUUGAGAAUCAAUGGGUACGUGUGCUCCCCUGCUAGAACCUCCAAACAAGCUCUCAAAACACAAAUCAAGUAUUUAGAGGAUUGACUAUACAGUCUUAGACAGGACAAAUAUACAUUGAAUUUUCUGGGAUAGUUCAGU
ensembl:misc_RNA 7SK 7SK RNA